rnacentral:rRNA from 1 species
GACGUAGGGGCCAGCGUUGUUCGGAAUUACUGGGUGUAAAGGGUUCGUAGGCGGUGCGGCAAGUUGGGAGUGAAAUCUCGUGGGCUUAACCCAGAGGCUGCUUCCAAAACUGCUGUGCUUGAGUGUGGGAGAGGCGCGUGGAAUUGCAGGUGUAGCGGUGAAAUGCGUAGAUAUCUGCAGGAACACCCGUGGCGAAAGCGGCGCGCUGGACCACUACUGACGCUGAGGAACGAAAGCUAGGGGAGCAAACAGG